GGAGAGGUGCUGGAGUGGCCGAACAGGCACGACUGGAAAUCGUGUGGUCGUUGUGAGACGACCCGUGGGUUCGAAUCCCACCCUCUCCGCCA
rnacentral:tRNA from 1 species